rnacentral:rRNA from 1 species
AACGAACGCUGGCGGCAGGCCUAACACAUGCAAGUCGAGCGCCCUUUCGGGGUUUCGGUGGUCGGGUGAGUAACGCGUGGGAAUAUGCCCUUCUCUACGGAAUAGCUUCGGGACACUGAGAGUAAUACCGUAUACGCCCUACUGGGGAAAGUUUUAUCGGGGAAGGAUUGGUCGGGGCGGGAUUGGGUAAUUGGUGGGGUGAUGGCCUACCAGGCCGACGAUCCUUAGCGGGUUUGAGAGGAUGAUCAGCCACACUGGGACUGAGACACGGCCCAGGCUCCGACGGGAGGCAGCAGUGGGGAAUCUUAGACAAUGGGGGCAACCCUGAUCAAGCCGUGCCGCGUGAGUGAUGAAGGCCUUAGGGUUGUAAAGCUCUUUCAGCUGGGAAGAUAAUGACGGUACCAGCAGAAGAAGCCCCGGCUAACUCCGUG